rnacentral:rRNA from 1 species
UACGUAGGGUGCGAGCGUUAAUCGGAAUUACUGGGCGUAAAGCGUGCGCAGGCGGUUCGUUAAGUUCGUUGUGAAAGCCCCGGGCUCAACCUGGGAACUGCAAUGGAAACUGGCGGGCUUGAGUGUGGCAGAGGGGGGUGGAAUUCCGCGUGUAGCAGUGAAAUGCGUAGAUAUCAGGAGGAAUACCGAUGGCGAAGGCAGGUCUCUGGGCUGACACUGACGCUCAUGCACGAAAGCGUGGGGAGCAAACAGG